GUCUGAACCCUUCGGGGGGACGACGGCGGAAUGAGCGGCGGACGGGUGAGUAACACGUAAAGAACCUGCCCAUAGGUCUGGGAUAACCACGAGAAAUCGGGGCUAAUACCGGAUGUGUCAUCGGACCGCAUGGUCCGUUGAUGAAAGGCGCUCCGGCGUCGCCCAUGGAUGGCUUUGCGGUGCAUUAGCUAGUUGGUGGGGUAACGGCCCACCAAGGCGACGAUGCAUAGCCGACCUGAGAGGGUGAUCGGCCACACUGGGACUGAGACACGGCCCAGACUCCUACGGGAGGCAGCAGUAGGGAAUCUUCCACAAUGGACGAAAGUCUGAUGGAGCAACGCCGCGUGAACGAUGAAGGCUUUCGGGUCGUAAAGUUCUGUUGUAAGGGAAGAACAAGUGCCGCAGGCAAUGGCGGCACCUUGACGGUACCUUGCGAGAAAGCCACGGCUAACUACGUGCCAGCAGCCGCGGUAAUACGUAGGUGGCAAGCGUUGUCCGGAAUUAUUGGGGCGUAAAGCGCGCGCAGGCGGCCUCUUAAGUCUGAUGUGAAAGCCCCCGGCUCAACCGGGGAGGGCCAUUGGAAACUGGGAGGCUUGAGUAUAGGAGAGAAGAGUGGAAUUCCACGUGUAGCGGUGAAAUGCGUAGAGAUGUGGAGGAACACCAGUGGCGAAGGCGACUCUUUGGCCUAUAACUGA
rnacentral:rRNA from 1 species